rnacentral:rRNA from 1 species
AUUGAACGCUGGCGGCAUGCCUUACACAUGCAAGUCGAACGGCAGCACGGGAGCAAUCCUGGUGGCGAGUGGCGAACGGGUGAGUAAUAUAUCGGAACGUGCCCAGUCGUGGGGGAUAACGUAGCGAAAGCUACGCUAAUACCGCAUACUAUCUAUGGAUGAAAGCGGGGGAUCGCAAGACCUCGCGCGAUUGGAGCGGCCGAUAUCAGAUUAGGUAGUUGGUGAGGUAAAGGCUCACCAAGCCGACGAUCUGUAGCUGGUCUGAGAGGACGACCAGCCACACUGGGACUGAGACACGGCCCAGACUCCUACGGGAGGCAGCAGUGGGGAAUUUUUGGACAAUGGGCGCAAGCCUGAUCCAGCAAUGCCGCGUGCAGGAUGAAGGCCUUC